GGGGCAAUAGACAUGCAGUCGAACGACUUAACUCAUUCUUUUAGAUUGAGAGCGGUUAGUGGCGGACUGGUGAGUAACGCGUAAGGAACCUGCCUUUUAGAGGGGAAUAACAAUGAGAAAUCAUCGCUAAUACCGCAUAUGCCAUAAUUAUCACAUGAUAAUAGUGGGAAAGGAGCAAUUCGCUAAAAGAUGGCCUUGCGUCUGAUUAGAUAGUUGGUAAGGUAACGGCUUACCAAGUCGACGAUCAGUAGCCGGACUGAGAGGUUGAACGGCCACAUUGGGACUGAGAUACGGCCCAGACUCCUACGGGAGGCAGCAGUCGGGAAUAUUGCGCAAUGGAGGAAACUCUGACGCAGUGACGCCGCGUAUAGGAAGAAGGUUUUCGGAUUGUAAACUAUUGUCGUUAGGGAAGAGAAAGGACAGUACCUAAGGAGGAAGCUCCGGCUAACUACGUGCCAGCAGCCGCGGUAAUACGUAGGGAGCGAGCGUUAUCCGGAAUUAUUGGGUGUAAAGGGUGCGUANACGGGAAAGCAAGUUAGUUGUGAAAUCCCUCGGCUUAACUGAGGAACUGCAACUAAAACUACUUUUCUUGAGUGCAGGAGAGGUAAGUGGAAUUCCUAGUGUAGCGGUGAAAUGCGUAAAUAUUAGGAGGAACACCAGUGGCGAAGGCGACUUACUGGACUGUAACUGACGUUGAGGCACGAAAGUGUGGGGAGCAAACAGGAUUAAAUACCCUGGUAAUCCACACCC
rnacentral:rRNA from 1 species